rnacentral:rRNA from 1 species
UACGUAGGGCGCAAGCGUUGUCCGGAAUUAUUGGGCGUAAAGAGCUCGUAGGCGGUUUGUCGCGUCUGCUGUGAAAACCUGAGGCUCAACCUCGGGCUUGCAGUGGGUACGGGCAGACUAGAGUGCGGUAGGGGUGACUGGAAUUCCUGGUGUAGCGGCGGAAUGCGCAGAUAUCAGGAGGAACACCGAUGGCGAAGGCAGGUCACUGGGCCGCAACUGACGCUGAGGAGCGAAAGCAUGGGGAGCGAACAGG